rnacentral:lncRNA from 1 species
UCCAAAAGGAGGAUGCCCGCUAUAGUGCUAUUCUAGGGUUGACGAGAAGUUGUAAAGUGUUAGCUCCAGCAAUACACCAAAAAUACUAUAGUACUCUAUGUUUAGUAGAACCUACAAAGUGCAAGCUAGGACUGACCAGGUUCAAUGAACCUGUAAAAGAAUAUGACUUGAAAUAAUAGCCCUCCAAUAUUCCCUUUAAUUUGCACCGUGAGAAUUUUAUAAAAGGACGCUCUGAUUGAUGAGAUGAACAAAUUCAAACACAAAGUCUUAUAUAUAUACACUCCAAUGGAGGUAACGAUUCAAUUGGUUAUUUUUAAGUCACGUAGGUUUAUUCAGUGAUUUGUAAUUUGCGGAUAUGAAAUGGCUUUUCAAUUUCGAAGGAUUCGCCAUUUUUGUGCCAUUCUUUAUUAUCAAAUUGAACUCUCAUCUUCGCCACCAAUUAAACAACUAUGAUCUAGCUCAGGUACUUUCUCCCAUCAUUUUUAGUUCGUUUGCUUUUCUUUCUCUAGACCUUGCUAUAAUGUUUCCUGAUCUCUAAUUUUUAAUCUGCAAUUUCUGCAUAUAUUGAAAAUUUUGAGAAGAAACCUGCAAGUAUAAUAAUAUUUUAUUCCGUCUUUUUCAAUUUGUGCGCCUUAUCCUCGUUGUAGUUGUAAAAAAUAGCAGAAGAAGAGUAAUAUUUGGAAAACUUCUGUUAGCCCAAUAUCGUUAAAUAAGAUUGGAGGAUUCAACUAUAAAAGAGGAAGCUUGAAAAGAGAAGAAAAGAGAAGAGGGAUUUUUGAAAGGAGAACUUUGUUAUUGAAGAAGACUUUCUUGAAUUUGGCUUCAUUACAAAUGAACAAGACUCUAAAUAUGAUUCUAGAUAAUGUACAAGGAAUAUUAUAGCUAACAUUAUCUUCUAACAACACUCUAUAGAAUAUAUAUAUAUAUAUAUAUACAUAUGUCAACUAGAUAACAUUAUUUUCCCACAAUAUUCUAGAAUAUCUAGAUGGUCUAAUAGAUAAAUAUCAAAGAUAUUAACUACACUAUGACAUUCUAGAAAAAUCUAUAUUUUUCCAAAAAAUCAUCUUUACUUUAUUUUUCUUACACUCCCCAUUGAAGUAAUUUUUUGGAAGCUACCCCAUGCUUGUCGUGGAAGAACUCAACCGAUGCUUUAGGACAUGUCUUGGUGAAGAUCUCAACACUAUUUUUCUGGCACAUCUUGCUUCCCCAAAAACUGAAGCUUCUUCAGUUGGUCCUGCAAAGACACAUGAGGAUGUGUUGAAAAAAAUUUCAAUCUCUGAAAUGAGCUAGGUUUACAAUAGUUCUUUUUGGUCUUCCUAAACUACUUGAAUCAUCUCCUUGAUGAGUUUCAUUUCUUUGAGUUCUCGGGCUCCCCUUUUCUCUUAGCUCCUCAAUAACUACAUUAUUAAAGGAAAUACAUGUGAUGGGCAAAUUUGAUGAUUCAAGGUUCAAAGGUUUAGAACCUGCCCCUUCUUCUGCAACUCCAUAAUACAAAGAGACUUCAUCAAUAUGACAUUUUUUGAAACAAUGAAGAGAUGAAUUUUAGGAUCCAUACAUUUCUAUCCCUUUUUCCUUUCAUCAUAUCUAAUAAAGAUGCCUUUUCUUUCCUUGGCAUCCAACAUGCUCCGUUUAGAAUCCGGAAUGUGAACAUAAUGGAGCCAAAAUCCCUGAGGUGUUUCAUGCUAGGCUUUUCUCCAAACAUUAAUUCAGAGGGAGACUUUAUAUUAUUUGGAGAAAGCGGCAUCCUGUUAAUCAUGUACGCUGCACAUUUCAUACAUUCAACCCAAAAGGCUCUAGGUAAAUUCUGGGCAUGAAGACAAUUCUUACAUGUCUCAGCUAAGUGUUAGGUCUUCUUUUCAGACACAUCAUUUUGUUGUGGCAUAUCAGCGCAUAUCAUCUCCCUUUUAAUUCCUUGCUGACGAUAAAAGGAAAGAAACGCAUCUGAUGUGAACUCACCGGCAUUAUCAGUUCGCAAUCGCCUUAUUCUGGAAUCGAGUUCACAUUUAACUGUUUCAUUGAACUCCACAUACUUACUGAAAACUUCGGACUUGUGCUUCACAAAAUAUACCCAAGUGAAUCUAGUAAAAAUCAAUGAAAAUUAGCAUAUAAGAAUAGCUUGAAAAUGAAAGAGUUCUCGUUGGCCCCUUCAAGUCACUGUGAAUAAGUUUUAGUGGGGAAUUACACCUUGACAAGGAUCUGUCAAAUGGAUGACGAUGUGCCUUUCCAUAUUAGCAUCCUUCAGAAACCUCUCCUCCACCAAUAUUUCUUAAGUUAGGCAAACCUUUUACUAGAUUCAACUUUAACAUGACUUUUAAUUUAUCCAUGCUUAGAUGUGCAAGUCUAGCAUGCCAAAGAUGUGUAUUAUCAUUACCGCUCAUCUUCUCAAUAUGUGAAUUAGAGGCAGAUAAGACAUAUAAAUUGUUAACUUCCUUACUUGAGUGAACAAUAUCUGCCUUGAGCACCUUGAUAUUUCGGAGGAACUUCACAUCAUGUGGGCCAAAUAGCAAAUAGUUUCCAGUAUCUACAACAUUUGCAACUAAAAAUAGAUUUUUCUUCAUUCCUGGAACAUGAAAGACACUGUUUAAGGUGAUAGUGUCUUUUUGCUUCUCGUUGAUCACAAUAGUGCGUUCCUUCUUAAGAGUAUGGACUGUAUUAUCUGCUGUAAUAAUGGCAUCACGUCCGUUUUGUUUGCGGAAGGUGGAGGAUUUGGAUUGAUCUCCAGUGAGAUGGUGCCCACAUCCUAGAUCCACGACCUCAUCGUUUUCAAAAUGUAUGGAAGUCGUGGCAUUUAUUGCUCGAGUCUCUGCUGCAAAGCACUUUCCCCAAUCUUCUUCUUUUUCUUCUUCUUUAGAAACUUUGUUGGUUUGAGCCAUAUUACUCUCUUUGGCUCAAUAAUAUCUUUUUAUAUGUCCGAAUUAGCUACAAUGGUAAUAUUUUAAAAGCUUUUUACCGUUACUGCAAGACUCCCCCUUCUUUCCUAGCGAGCUUGAACCACUUAAGGAUUGAAAGUACAUGCUAUCUCUCGAUUUCCCUUUAUACUUUCUUUUAUUGGCGACAAAAGCAUUUCCUUCCCCUUCUUUGAUAGAUACACCAACCAUCUUUUUGGCUAGUAGCUUUUGUCACGACAACAAAUUCUCAAAUUCUUCCAAAGAUAGUUGUUGAACCCAUCCUUGAAUUGAUGAACAAAUGGAAUAUAUUCUGACUUUAAACCACGAAUAAUGAUUUUUCUUAUUCGUGCUUCAGAGAUAGCCUGGUCCGGAUUCAAUAGUGAAAUUUUGGAACACAGAUUUUUAACCUUCAAGAAAUACUCGGCGAUAGAGAGAUUACCUUAAAUGGUGUUACUAACUCAUUCUACAAAAUCUGUAGCCGAGCUUCAUCCUUCUUGUUGAACAAUCGAUCGAAUAUCAUCCAUAUUUCAUAAGCUGAUUUACACCUUAUAAUAUGAUCAAAUAAAUUAGGAGGGAUAGACCUCUUUAGGAUAAAAUCCGCCUUAGUAUUAUUCUGCUUCCACUUCUUAUGCGCAUUGCUAUUUUUUGGUGCGACAGUAGGAGGACUUGUGUUACUCCCAUUGAUAACUUCCUACAAAUUUCCACCAACAAGGUAUGGCUUCGUACAAGUCUUUCAUACCUUGUGGUUGGACUGGUUAAAUAAUUCAAUCCCCAAUCUAUUAGCACAACUACGCGAAUCCAUUUAGAGAAACCAGUUGAAUCAAUCACUAACCCGACCUUGAAAUCCAGAAGCUGAUUUAUGGCUCUGAUACCCUGUAAAUAAUAGCAGAAUAAGAGUAUUAUUUGAAAAUCUUUUGCUAGCCCAAGAUUGUUAAUUAAGAUCGGAGGAGUCAACUAACGAGGAGGAAGCUUGAAACGAGAAGAGAGAUUUUUAAAAGGAGAACUUUGUUACUGAAGAAGACUUUCUUGAAUUUGGCCUCAUUACAAGUGAACAAGACACCCCCUUUUAUACUUGUCUAUGAAUGAUUCUAGAUAUGAUUCUGGUAAUGUACAAAGAAUAUUCUAGCUAACCUUGUCUUCUAACAACACUCUAGAAUAUCUAGAUAUGUCUACUAGAUAACAUUAUCUUACCACAACAUUCUAGAAUAUCUAGAUGGUCUAAUAGAUAAAUAUCAAGAAUAUUACACUAGGACAUUAUAGAGAAAUCUAUAUUUUUCCAAAAAUCAACUUUACUUUAUUUUUCUUACAGUAAUCUAUUCCAAAAAGAAUAUCAUAUUACAUUUUCAUUUUACUCACAGUGACACUCUAUUAUAGGAAUAACAUGUUUAAAAUCUAAGCCCAUAAUACAAUUCAAAAAUAUUGUUUAUAUUCUAAAUUUUAUUCCUAAUUAAAUUAAGACGAAUAAAAUGAAAUUGAGGAAAUACUUGAAACCAAUGAUAUCUCCCAAUAAAAAUAAAAGGAAUCAAUUAAAAAGAUUAAGUUCUACCAAAUCUUUACACGAACUUUGAUUAGUCCUGUGCUUGCACAUUAAUUCAACUUUAUGACUAUUGUAUCAUUCGACUUUGAUUUUUCUAGCACUAAAGAGUUUAACCUAAUAUAUUGAUAAUGUAAAAAAUGUAUAUUAUCAAGUCACUUUUAACUUGUAAUUUAUCAUGUUUAAUAAGUCACAAAUUUGUGUUUGUUACGGAAAGUUAUUUAUGUAUAUGUAAAAUUUCUUUGAUAAUCCAUGUUACCAUGUAUAUUAAUUAGUUAAUCUCAACAUCAAAUUGCUCAAUGAUUGUUAUUGCUAUUUUUCCAUUUGAUACCUAAAAAAUAUCAAUAUAGAGAUUAGGCAGAUGAGGCUGACAUUCUUAGAUUCCGCCACAUUAUGCCAUUGUUAUCAAAGGAAGAGAAAAGGAAAAUAAUGGUCUCUUCAUGGGAAUAGAAACCAAAAAUUAAAUUAACGUAUAUGGUCGACUUGUGUUUUGCUUUAGUUUCAAUUCAACUAUUUUCUGUGUUCAUAUUACUGUUUUUAUUUACAAUUUUACAGCAAAUAACACUAAAUUGAAAAAAAUUUGAUUAGAGUCAAUCUUUAUUUCUCUGACAAUAGUAAUGGCUCCCUUAUCUCAAUUUCAUGAGUGGAAAGAAUAAUAUCAAUAUUUAUCAAGAGCAAUAGUACCAAUUAAAUAUUCCAGUAUCAACAUGAAAACUUCUUUUCCUUACGCAGGAAGCUGAGCAUCUUUACUCUUUGGCUAUAGAAUAUGAAGACUUCAAGCUAUGCAGAGUAUUUACGUACAACACAUUUUCAACAUUGAGUUCAUGCAACAAACUCAUCUGAAGACCAGAAAAAUUUUAAAACAAAAGAAACUUGAAGUUGUGCUGGGUUUCCUUGACUUUAAAUAACCAAACAAUGGAUUGGCUAAAAGAACCUGAAAAUAUUAUAAUUAGGUAUGGGUCACGUAUCCGAUGAAAUAGUUAAGAUAUGCACAGACAUUGUGACGCCACUAAAAAGGAGAAAGAUAAAAAGAAACUUGGAAAAGUACGUUAUAAUUAGGCACUGGUUACGUAUCCGAUGAAAUAGUUGAGGUACGCACUGAUACUAUGAUAUCAGUUAUUGUUAUUGAUGAGUUCCCCUAUAAACUUCACUGUUACUGUUUUCUCGCAGAUAGUUCUCUCUUCUUUCCUCAUAUAAUAAAAGGAUAUGCACCUUCUUUAUAAAUUUAAACAGUUAAUGAAAAUUCACAGCACCUUGUAACUCCUCGUUGAUUUGCUUUAAUUUUCCCCUUUACUCGUUUAAGCUAGUUUACUUUUUUCUUUUUAUUCAAUUACUUAUUUACUUCCAUUAAGGGGACUCUAUGGUCUUAUGUUGUAUUGACUUUCAUUCAGGGGUCAGGGAAAUAUAUAUUUUCCUUCUUAUCUUCCAAUAGAACUGUUACUCCAUUUAAAGAGCGUGGUAUAGAAAGGGCAUUUAAUAUACACUCCCCACGUCACAACUUAUAUGAUACAAUUUGGAUUUUUGAGAGUCAAAUAAGUUGUUGACUUUAAUUUUUUUUGUCUUUUAAAUAUUUUAAUUUGUUAAUUAUUAUGUCUUAUAUUAUUAUUUAUCUAGUUUCUACAAGAUUUUAUGUCCGAAUUUACAAUCAAAUUGCGAAACUCUUAAAAAGUCGAACUUCAUCACAUAUUCUGGGAAGGAGGGAGUAUACUUUAGCGAUUGCAAUAUUUUGAUUUGUUUUGUAUUGUAAUUUGACAUUUUCACAUUUCUAUACACUAUAUAAAAUUAUAUUACCCUCUCUACUCAUAUUUUAUUAUAAUUGUAUUUUAUAUUAUUUAUGUACAUUUUAAAAAAAUUAAUAAUAAUUAAUAGUAUUCAAAAUAACUCUAUCGUAUCUUUCACUCCCCAUGUUUCUCUCCCUCCACCCUCCCACCCCCUAUCUUGCAGGCACUCACUGCAGUAGUAUGAUCUCUUCCCUAUUUGAAGGAGAAACUUUACGAUCUUUAUAAUCAAAUAAUUGUAAACUUUAUAACCUUUUGAAUUGAGUGUUAUUGCAAAGAAUUAGAAAUUUUUUCUACGUCUCUCUUUAUCUCUCGAUCUUAAUUUUGGUAUUGUAAAAUAACGGAAAAGAGAGCAGCAAUUCCAUCAUUGACAGUCAUUAAAAAGCUUUUAAGUUUUGAAUUUGAAUUUGGGUUUUCAAAAAUCAUUAUUGUUUGGAUAUGGUGGUGUUGUCCCAAACAAUUGGUGUCACACCUCCUUUUUAACACACUACCCAAAAGUGUAGUAUAUAAGGGAGUUUUUCCAAUUUAAGUAACAUUAUUUCGAAAUGG